GUAGUCUGCAACUCGACUACAUGAAGCUGGAAUCGCUAGUAAUCGCAGAUCAGAAUGCUGCGGUGAAUACGUUCCCGGGUCUUGUACACACCGCCCGUCACACCAUGGGAGUCGGAAAUGCCCGAAGCCGGUGACCAAACCAAUAAGGAAGGAGCCGUCGAAGGCAGGUCUGAUAACUGGGGUGAAGUCGUAACAAGGUAAC
rnacentral:rRNA from 1 species